rnacentral:lncRNA from 1 species
UAUGAACAAAACUCUUUUUUUUUUUCCGUUGACAGAAAAAUGCAUGCAUAUUGUUAUUUGAUUUAUUUUUUAUUAAAUAGGAAAAAAAAUUAAACCUAUAUUUUAUUUCAAAAUUACUAUUACUGAUUAGGAAUAUGAAUUGAUAUAGGUACAUAAUUUUAUCUGAACUCAAUUUUAUAGGGUGAGCUUAAUCGAUGCUGAGUACGAAUAAUUUCAGUUAAAAUUACAAAAAAAAUAAAUCACAUUAUAUUCAAACUCAGUUAUGGUUUUGAUUUAUAUCUAAACCAAACCUGAACCGAAAUCCGAAGCCGAAAACAAAACUAAAAUCAUAUAAAAACAUACUAUAUAUAAAAUACAAUUUUUAUAUAUUUUUUAAAAAUAAAUAUAUAUUAAUAAUUUAAUUUAAUAUUUAGUAUAUUAAAUAAUUAAAUUUAGGUUUACAGAAAUUGUCUUGAAAUAUCUAUUAGUAUUUGUACUGUUGAUGAGAGAUAAAGGGUAAAAAUGGUAUUUUAAAAAUAUAACUCCAUUUUAAAGGGAACUUAACUAGUGAAGGAUAUUUAUGAUAAUUUUUGAUAUAUUGGAGGGCAUUCAUGAAAUUAUGGAUUUUAGAAGGGCAUUGAUGAAAUUAAUAGUUCCUGGAAGGGCAUCUAUGAAAUUAUCCCUAUUAUUAAUUAUAAAGCUAGUCUUCUCACAUUUUUGCGCUUAUACCGACCGUCCCUAAAGCAAGUAGCAAAGGGCUUGGUGGUUGGUAACCGAGACCCAAGUUCGAAUCCUAGUUGAUUCAUAUUUCCAGCUAAGUUUAUUUCUAAAUGAAAUAAACGAAACGGGUAGCGUGCUACCUAUCUCUCUCAAAAAAAAAAAAAAAAAAUUUUUGCGCUUAUCUUAAUUACCCUGACAUAAAAAAAUUGCAUUAAUUAUCCCAUACAUUUUGUGUGACACAUUAGGAUUUGGAAUAGUCGUAUAUAUAAGAUAUAAUAAGACUAAGCCUCUUAACUCGGCUGUAGUAUUUUGGCGAUAGUUAGAUUUAAGAGGUUAAAAGAGUUAAGUGUACUAGAACUAGAGUAAUUUUAGGAUGAGUAACCUUUUGGAAAGUGCACCGUUACACUUUGUCAAUAUUUUAAGUAGGUUCGACUAUUUAGGAUAAUUGUUGAAUUCAACUGUAAAACUUUAUAAAGAUGAAUUUAUUGAUAACGUAAUACGUAAAUAAUGUAAUAAAAUUAUAUAAAUUGAAUAACUUA